rnacentral:rRNA from 1 species
UCAGUCGACUCCUACGGGGAGGCAGCAGUGGGGAAUAUUGCACAAUGGGGGAAACCCUGAUGCAGCCAUGCCGCGUGUGUGAAGAAGGCCUUCGGGUUGUAAAGCACUUUCAGUAGGGAGGAAGGUAGUGUAGUUAACACCUGCAUUAUUUGACGUUACCUACAGAAGAAGCACCGGCUAACUCCGUGCCAGCAGCCGCGGUAAUACGGAGGGUGCGUGCGUUAAUCGGAAUUACUGGGCGUAAAGCGCAUGCAGGCGGCCUGUUAAGUCAGAUGUGAAAGCCCGGGGCUUAACCUCGGAAUUGCAUUUGAAACUGGCAGGCUAGAGUCUUGUAGAGGGGGGUAGGAAUUUCAGGUGUAGCGGUGAAAUGCGUAGAGAUCUGAAGGAAUACCAGUGGCGAAGGCGGCCCCCUGGACAAAGACUGACGCUCAGAUGCGAAAGCGUGGGGAGCAAACAGGAUUAGAUACCCUGGUAG